UGGGGAAUAUUGGACAAUGGGCGAAAGCCUGAUCCAGCCAUGCCGCGUGUGUGAAGAAGGUCUUCGGAUUGUAAAGCACUUUAAGCGAGGAGGAGGGUACUGGUAUUAAUACUACCAGGUACUGGACGUUACUCGCAGAAUAAGCACCGGCUAACUCUGUGCCAGCAGCCGCGGUAAUACAGAGGGUGCGAGCGUUAAUCGGAUUUACGGGGCGUAAAGCGUGCGUAGGCGGCUAAUUGAGUCGGAUGUGAAAUCCCCGAGCUUAACUUGGGAAUUGCAUUUGAUACUGGUUAGCUAGAGUGUGGGAGAGGAUGGUAGAAUUCCAGGUGUAGCGGUGAAAUGCGUAGAGAUCUGGAGGAAUACCGAUGGCGAAGGCAGCCAUCUGGCCUAACACUGACGCUGAGGUACGAAAGCAUGGGGAGCAAACAGG
rnacentral:rRNA from 1 species